rnacentral:lncRNA from 1 species
AUCUAUAUAAAGAGAUGCUCAUUCUCAAUUAUAAUCAUCUCGUUUUUUAUCACAAUCAUUGUUGAUGGCGAGUUUCUUAGUGCUGCUGCUGUUUCUUAUCUUCAUUAUUUUAAUAGAAAAUUUGUUGGGAGUUGCAGGAGCUGAGGAUCGAGACAUGCCUCCAUGUUGCCGCAAAUGUUGUCCACCCUCGCGCCCGUAAUAUUGUUGUGUGUUGGCUCCCAUUUUCUUUUAAUUAUCCUAUAAUAUGUAAAAUAAAGUUUGAUUAAGUGUGAUGUGAGGUGAUGAUUAGUAGAUGUAGUUUAGAUUAUUAUAAUGUAUGUGCUGUUGGCGUUAUGUAAUCUUAAUGUAUUGAAAAUGGGAGGAUUUAAAUAUCAAUCUACGCCCCAGAUUUUUUUUUUUUUUUCAUCCGCGCAUCGCCUUCCUUCUCUGCUACUUCUCUUCUUGAUCUUCUUUCGCAGGUGCAGCAGUGCAUUAGCUACCUACAGCCAUCCACUAAUCCCAAACUCUUAACAGCUAAUUUUGAUAAUAUAUCUAAAUACAAUAGUAGUGAAGCCAACUAUUCCAUCACGGUGCUGCCGCACGCGCCCUUCGCAUCGAUCUGCCCCAUCUUUUUCAUUUGGCAUAGAACCCAGUUCUUUAGGCGCAGUUUUGUUUGAGUGUAAUGUAGGGAAUUUCUCCCCUUUUUUCUUUGCAAAAGAUAAAAAGAAUCUUAUUGGAUAGUCUAGAUACUGCUUGUUCGUCUGUAAAGGGAAUGCUGCGAGGCAAACAAUUGCCUGUGUUUGACAAUAUUGACAAGCGAUAAAAGAUACAUCACAUAAACUCAAGUGGUCAAUAUCGUUCUUCGUGUCAUAUUCUCAAUAUCAGUCGGUCUCAUAAGUGCCAAGUAUCAUACACCAG